UACAGAGGGUGCGAGCGUUGUUCGGAAUUAUUGGGCGUAAAGGGCGCGUAGGCGGUGCGGUAAGUCACCUGUGAAAUCUCCUGGCUCAACUGGGAGCUUGCAGGCGAAACUGCCGUGCUGGAGUGUGGGAGAGGUGCGUGGAAUUCCUGGUGUAGCGGUGAAAUGCGUAGAUAUCAGGAGGAACACCAAUAGCGAAGGCAGCUCGCUGGGACGUUACUGACACUGAGGCGCGAAAGCGUGGGGAGCGAACAGG
rnacentral:rRNA from 1 species